rnacentral:rRNA from 1 species
GAGUUUGAUCUUGGCUCAGAUUGAACGCUGGCGGCAUGCCUUACACAUGCAAGUCGAACGGCAGCACGGGAGCUUGCUCCUGGUGGCGAGUGGCGAACGGGUGAGUAAUGCAUCGGAACGUAUCCUGGAGUGGGGGAUAACGUAGCGAAAGUUACGCUAAUACCGCAUAUUCUGUGAGCAGGAAAGCGGGGGACCUUCGGGCCUCGCGCUCUUGGAGCGGCCGAUGUCGGAUUAGCUAGUUGGUGAGGUAAAGGCUCACCAAGGCGACGAUCCGUAGCAGGUCUGAGAGGAUGAUCUGCCACACUGGAACUGAGACACGGUCCAGACUCCUACGGGAGGCAGCAGGUGGGAAUUUUGGACAAGUGGGGGCAACCCUGAUCCAGCCAUGCCGCGUG